AUCCAGCUGACAAAUCCCAAAUAGGACGAAAUGGGCGUUGUCCUGGAU
rnacentral:hammerhead_ribozyme from 1 species